CCUACGGGAGGCAGCAGUAAGGAAUAUUGGUCAAUGGACGCAAGUCUGAACCAGCCAUGCCGCGUGCAGGAUGACGGCCCUCUGGGUUGUAAACUGCUUUUGUACGGGAAGAAACCUCUCUACGUGUAGAGAGCUGACGGUACCGUAAGAAUAAGGACCGGCUAACUUCGUGCCAGCAGCCGCGGUAAUACGAAGGGUCCAAGCGUUAUCCGGAUUUAUUGGGUUUAAAGGGUGCGUAGGCGGCUUAUUAAGUCAGUGGUGAAAGACUUCAGCUUAACUGAAGAACUGCCAUUGAUACUGAUGAGCUUGAAUAUACUUGAGGUGGGCGGAAUGUGUCAUGUAGCGGUGAAAUGCUUAGAUAUGACACAGAACACCGAUUGCGAAGGCAGCUCGCUAAAGUAUGAUUGACGCUGAGGCACGAAAGCGUGGGGAGCAAACAGGAUUAGAUACCCUGGUAGUCCACGCCCUAAACGUUGAUAACUCGAUGUGUGCGAUAUACAGUACGCGUCCAAGCGAAAGCAUAAGUAUCCACCUGGGAAGUGGUUGCAAGAUUGAAACUUCAAGGAUUGACGGNNGNGAGNGCGAGCGACGACGAGGAGGAGG
rnacentral:rRNA from 1 species